ACUGGCGGAAAAGCCUUUAACCCUUUCCUGUCUGCUUUGGGCGUUGUAUUUGCCCGGGGAUCCCCAGACCGGAGGAGGGGACAUCAGCUCUCUGGGUAUACAGUGACCCACGACCCGUGGAUACCAGGUCUCCCGGCUCGCCCACCAGCCUUUGGCCACCAGGCCAGGGUACCAGCAGACACUCGACCUCUCCAGACCCAAAGAUGUCCUUCCCGGGACGCCGGACCCGCAGGAAGGGGCGGGCACUGCAGAAUGGCCUCGCGGGGCCCCGCGUUGUCAUAGCAAUCCACGCCGGCGCCCGGACGCCGGAGUGCUUGCAGCCCGCGACCCCAAGCCUCUCCCCGCAGGGAAGCAAAGAGGCAGCCAACAUGCCUAUCUCCAAGUGCCCACAAAAGUCAGAGCCCCUGUGGAAGGAGUGGGACCAAAAAGCCCAGAAGAAUGGUCUGAGGCACCAGGUGUAUGCUGUCAAUGGUGACUGCUACGUGGGUGAGUGGAAGGACAACAUGAAACACGGAAAAGGAAAACAGAUCUGGAAGAAGAACGGAGCCAUCUAUGAAGGGGACUGGAAGUUUGGGAAGCGAGAUGGUUAUGGCACGCUCAGCCUUCCUGACCAAGAGAUGGGAAAGUACAAGAGAGUAUACUUGGGCUGGUGGAAAAAGGAUAAAAAAGCCGGUUAUGGGAUCCAGUUUUUCGGACCCAGGAAGUAUUACGAGGGUGAGUGGUGUGGCAGCAAGCGCAGCGGGUGGGGCCGCAUGUACCACAGCAAUGGUGACAUCUACGAGGGCCAGUGGCGGAAUGACAAGCCUGACGGGAAGGGCAUGUUGCGCCUGGAGAACGGAAACCGCUACGAAGGCCACUGGCAGAGAGGCAUGAAGAAUGGGUCUGGGCGUUUCUUCCACCUGGACCAUGGUCAGCUAUUUGAAGGCUUCUGGGUGGACGACGUGGCCAAGUGUGGCACACUGAUUGACUUUGGCCGCGAUGAGGCUCCUGAGCCUACCCAGUUCCCCAUUCCUGAGGUGGGCAGCUCUUACCAAGGCUCUAUGGCCACACCCAGGGAGAGACAGCAAACAGCAUCCCCAGCUGCACCCAGCCUGGCCUGGCCCAGCCCAGCCAGGGAACAGACAAGGUUUUGUUUCAGUCAGGGCAUCCCCAAGGAAGCAGGCAGUACCCCAAAGCAGGCAGCACCCACCAGGCAGGCAGCCUGCACCUUCCACACUCCCCAGUCCAACCCAUUAUUGUUUUCCUCCAGGUCAAAAUUCUAGACCCUGAUGGUGUGCUGGAGGAAGCCUUAGCCUUGUUAAGGAAGUCAGAGGAUGAAGAAGGAAACUGAUGCCAGAGAGAACACCAGAGCUUCAGGGGAAAUUCAAACCCAUGCCACCCAACUGCUUGGACUGGAGCUGCUUCCACUGAAGGGAAGCAUGAUGGCUCAGGCACAUACUCAGCACCCUCAGAGAGCAUCUCAACCUCCCGG